rnacentral:lncRNA from 10 species
CCUCACUUUAUUCCAGCUUUAUUAGCUAAUGGCAGCUAAAAGUGAUUUUACACAAAAUAAUGUGUCGGAGAUCAUUGUUCCCGGGCACAGGUCCCAAAUUCCAGCCCACGACCGAAGGCCAAACGUGCCCGUUAAUGAUUAAACCUCUGGAGUCAGUGCUCAGGGACACAGGCAGGGAGCAGCCCGGAGAGCUGCCGGUCAAGGUGCCCGGCCGGGUGGGGGUGGGGCAGCAGCCAGGCCCCGCCCAACAGGAACCAGUUCCUGCCCAAAGCAGGAGGGGAAAGGCUUUUCCACCAAGGGAAAGCUAAAUAUUGUCUAAAUCCGGCACCCAGGACGACACACAGGCUUCCCAUUGUCUGCCACACAGCAGGUUGAUGUUGGACCGUAUUUACAUUCAGUGUUUGGGGCUGACCGGGAAGAAAUCUGAAAGUGGAAGAGAAGGGAAGGCACCGGUAACCUCGUCUUCCCAAGAGGAGGUCAGAGGGACUGAUCUCUGCUUACUGCAGCCUCCACCUCCCAGGCUCAAGAGACCCUCCUACCUCAGCCUCCCCAGUAUCUGGGACUACAGGCGCAAGCCACCAUGCCUGGCUUUUUUUUUUUUUCAAUUUUUUGUAGAGAUGGGGUCUCAAUAUGUUUUGCCCAGGCUGGUUUUGAACUCCUGAGCUCAAGCGAUCCUCCUUCCUGGGGCUCCCAAAGUGCUGGGAUUAUAGGCUUGAGCCACAGCGCCCAGCGCAUUAGGGAAGCAGGAGCCCAGGACAGCCAGAGCAAUGCCAUUGUAAGUUCAUCUCCAUCCUGAGACUAACAAGGCACAUUCCUUGCCAGCCACAACUUGUGGUCACAAGAAGCUUACAAUUAAGGGAACAGCCUAAAGAUACCUGCAAGGAUGCACUCCUACAAGAGAAAGUCCAGAUGUCCCCAUACUCGUAACAACAUAUGCUUUCGAAA